rnacentral:misc_RNA from 1 species
GGCCGCGGGGUGGUGGGGUGUGGUGGGUGUUUACUCCAAUAGGGAGCUUCAGUCACGAAUGCCCCUGAAGAAAAAUUUCUGAUUCACAAGUGGAUGCCACAGCCGAAGAAAUAAUAUUGCUGAAAUGCAUACUUGUCAUCAUUUUCAUACCAUCAACCUAGUUGAAGCUCCCUGGUCUUCAACAGGAUGAACAAUUCAACAGGAACAAGAAACGUGCAACGCAAGUACUCACAAUUUUUGGCAUCAUAAACCGAUCAAUUGAAAAGAAAAUGGCUUGGUAUACUCACUGCUGAGUGCCAUGAUUUUGGAC